UGGGAUCAAAACCAAGGCACAGUGAACUCAUAGCUUCUCCUUUUCGAUUACUCAGGAACCAGAACUUUUCACACAAAUGUAAGAAAUUCUACUAAGGAAUCCCUUUACCUAACAGCAUCUCAGCUCCAGUCAGAUUCCAGAAAAGGCCUCUUGAUGCAUCAAGAUAGAACCUA
rnacentral:lncRNA from 1 species